GAUGCUCUCUCCUUCUCUCUUUAUGCUUGCCAUACUGUGGCAAGAGAGAUCAGUUGAUUUUUCUACCAUUAGAGGUUCCAUCUUUGGAAUUAUGGUAUAUGAGGAAGGCCAGUUGAGACAUACAGGCACUACUAUAUCCUUCAACUUUCCAUUGGUAUGCAGUUAUUGGUUUCCUAGUUGGACCACAUUCUGUGAGCCAUUCUUAUAUAUCCACUUUCUACAUACAUAGAGAGAUCCAAACUAUCUGUUCUGUUCAAGUGGAAAACCUUUACUAAUAAAGAUUUUUUUUGGCUUUUUCUCUACACACAGCAGGUAAGUAUAAGGGCAGUAGAAGACUCAGCAGUAGGGAUAGCCAUGAUUAUUGGGUCUCAGAUAACAGUUACUAGAGAUGGUCCACGUGCCUCUACCCUGGCCCUAUAACUCACAUCUAAACACUGAGCUUCAGGUUCUCUGAACUAAUUUAUUCACUUCUUUGUUAAUUUAAAUUUUUGUUGUUAUUAAUCUAUGUUAAGUCUUUUCUUUUAUUGCGUGAAAAGAAUCUGUGACCUGGGCAGGUCACUUAGGAAGCAUUUUGCUUGGGAUGAUCUGAGUUUAGAUACCAUCACCCAUGUUUACUACCUGUGACUCCAGAUCCAGGGGGUCUGACACCCUCCUCUCUUGUGUGCCACUCACACAUACAUGGAAAACAUUCUCUCUCAAUCAUACACAUGAACAUAGGGACAGACUUGUCUUCAAAGGUGCUAAUAUCUUAUAAUGCAAGGUAAGCAAAUCAAGCAAGCUUAUGUGUAUAAUAGAAAUCAUACAGUGUUUUUUAACCUGGUAUUUUGUAUUUUUUUAGAGUUUCCAUUUCAUAAAUGCAGUUCACACUUUUAUAAUUUUAUAAUAUCAGAAUGCUUAAUCUCUUCAGUUUUUUGGAUUAGCCUCCAUUCCCAAUCCAUCUCACAUUAUUGUCAAAGCAGACAAUAGCAAUGAACAGGAAGAGUGCUGGCCACUGAGUUUGUAAUUUUCAUUCUGAUUAUAGUCUUGCAGUUCUUAUUUAAAUGACCAUGUUAGAUUCACAGGCCUGUUUAUGUUUCCUUUUUACAGUGCUGCCAUCUAUGUUGUAUGAUUCAUUAAUUAUAAUCUAAUUACACAAUUGUUUAUCUAGGAAAUAAUAAGCCUUCACCUCUUUUCUUCUUCUGAUAAUUUACUAUCAGUUCCUUGAGUUUUUGUUGGUUUGGGGACUUUCUGUGGAGAAACAGUGUUAGCUUUCUCUUCUUCACCUGAAAAGGUUGCCUCUCCUCCUUUCUUGGAGAAUCUGUGUUUUCCAGUCCUUGCAGUCAUCAGUGUUUGGAUUUUUAAUCCUUCAGUGACUGAUUUGGUAUGGGGGUUCUUAAAUUAUUUUCAUAUAUUAUUGUCUCUGUCUCCUAAGUUACUUAAUUUGUCAGCAUUUCAGAGCCUACAAUCAUUUGAGAGAACUACAGUUGAGGCGGUACACAGUCAGAAUGAUUGUUUGCUAAUUUGGUGAGAGAUUGUGGCAUUGUGACCCUUGACUAGGGAAGGCUUAUCCACUGAGUGUGGAAGAAUUGCUAAGUGAGUAGGGCUGGCCUGGAUGAGCAAGAGAGCAAGCCAGGAAACAAUAUUUGCUCAUGGUUUUUGCUUUUAUGCUUGAAGUUGGAUUUCUAUCAUAAGAUUCCCAAAUAAUGGAAGGAGGUUUUGGAAUUUUUUUUUAAUUGGAUAUUUUGUGUAUUUCACAUACAUAAAAUAUUUCAAAUGUUAUAUCUGUUCACCAUUUCCCCUCUGGAACCGCCUUUUCUCAUACUGCCUUCUCCUGCUUCUAUGAGGAUACUGCCCCUCCCACCCUCCCACUCCCAUUUCACCGCUCUGGCAUUCCAGUACACUGGGGCAUGGAGCCUUCACAGAACCAACGGCUUCUCCUCCUAUUGAUGCCAGACAAUUCCAUCCUCUGCUCCACAUAGGGCUGGAGCCAUGAGUUCCAAUAUCUGUACUCUUUGUUUGGUGAUUUAGUUCCUAGGAGUUCUGAGGUAUCUGGUUGGUUGAUAUUGUUUUUCUUCCUAUGGGGUUGCAAACCCCUUCAGCUGUUUCAGUCCUUUCUCUAACUCCUCCAUUGGGGUCCAUGUGCUCAGUCCAGUGGUUGGCUGUGAUCAUCUGCCUCUGUAUUUGUCAGGCUCUGGCAUUGCCUCUAAGGAGACAGGUAUAAUAGGCUCCUGUCAGCAAGCAUUUCUUGGCAUGCACAGUAGUGUCUGGGUUUAGUGUCUGUAUAGGGGAUGGAUUCCCAAGUGGGGCAGUCUCUGGAUGCUGUCUGUAUAAGGGCUAGAUUCCCAAGUGAGGCAGUCUCUGGAUGGUCUUUCCCUCAGACUCUGCUCCAUACUUUGUCCCAUUCUUUCCUUUAGACAGAACAUUCUGGGUUAGGAAUUUGAAGAUGAGUGGGUGGCCCCAGCCUCCAAAUGGGGGCCUUGCCUAACCUCUGGAUAUGUUCUCUAAUGAUUCUCCCCUCCUUUGUUGGGCAUUUCAACUAAUCUCAUCCCUGUUACAUCCUGGGAGCCUUUUGCUCUCAUAGCAUCUUGGACUUGCUGGUAGCUACCCCCAGAUCUCCCUUCCCCAUUUCUACACACCUGUGUUCAAACUUUUGAUCCUCUGUAAAUCAUCCCUCUCUCCUCCCAUACUUGGUCCUGUCCCCCUUUUCCUACCUUCCACUCCUCACUUCUUCCCAAGUCCUGCCACACUUUUCCUCCCAUGAGUAUUUUCUUCCCCAUUCUACAAGGACUGAAACAUCCAAAUUUUGGCCUUCAUUCUUCUUUUGCUUCAUAUGGUCUGUUAAUUUUACCUUGGUUAUUCUGAGCUUUUCAGCUAAUAUCUACUUAUCAAUGAGUGCAUAUCAUGUGUGUCCUUUUUUACUGGGUUAUGUCAUUCAGGAUGAUAUUGUCUAUUUCCGUCAAUUUUCCUAAGAUUUUCAUGAAGUCAUUGGUUUUAAUAGCUGAGUAGUACUCCAUUGUGUAAAUGUACCACAUUUUCUGUAUCCACUCCUCUGUUGAAGGACAUCUGAGUUCUUUGCAGCUUCUGGCUAUUAUAAAUAAGGCUGUUAUGAACAUAAUGGAACAUGUUUCCUUGUUAUAUGUUGGAGCAUCUUUUGGGUAUAUUCACAGAAGUGGUAUAGCUGGGUUCUCAGGUAGUACUAUGUCCAAUUUUCUGAAGAAACUUGAAUGGUUGUACGAGCUUGCAAUCCCACCAACAAUGGAGGAGUAUUCCUCUUUUGCCAAAUCCUCACCAACAUCUGCUGUCACUUGAAAUUUUGAUCUUAGCCGUUCUGACAGGUGUAAGCUGGAAUCUCAGAGUUGUUUUGAUUUCCAUUUCCCUUUUGACUAAGGAUGUUGACUAUUUCUUUAGGUGCUUCUCAGCCACUGAAUAUUCCUCAGUUGAGAAUUCUUUGUUUAGCUCUGGACUCUAUUUUUAAUAGGGUUAUUUGGUUCUCUGGCGUCUAACUUCUUAAGUUCUUUAUAUAUAUUGAAUAUAAGCCCUCUAGCAGAUGUAGGGUUGUUAAAAUUCUUUUCCCAAUCUGUUGAUUGCAUUUUGUCCUAUUGGCUCUGUCCUUUGCCUUACAGAAGCUUUGCAUUUUCCUGAGGUUGCAUUGUCAAUUCUAGGUCUUAGAGCAUGUACUGGCUAAUUUUGUGUCAACUUGACACAGCUGGAGUUAUCAC
rnacentral:lncRNA from 1 species